ACCGACUGAGCCACCCAGGCGCCCCCCCCCCCAAUUUUUUUUUUUAAUUAAAAAAUAACUUGGUGAAUUCUUGUUGUAGAUGUAAGUUUUAUUUCAGUUGAAAUCAAACUUUGUAAAUAAUUUUUUUUUUUGAAAGGUUGAUUUGACCUCAAUAUAGAGAGCCUUAGCAUGUGUGUGGGCCCACAAGAUCCUUGCUGAAAAAGAGAAGACAUCACUGUAAGAGACCAGGGCCCUCUGAUGGCCCCUGAAAGCGCAGGGUUCCCAGCCAGAGUUGACUGUCCUGUGCUUUGGACUUAUCCUUGGGAAUGGAACUCCAGAGGUAGGAUUGAAGGCAGCAACAAGGAACCAGACUCAUAGGGGGCUCAGAAAUAUUCCUUUGCUUUGAAUGUCCUCCAUCUGGAAGAGUUUAGCUAAUUAAACCAAAGAUCACGGAUGAGUUGGCCCCAUUUAUCUCCAAUGGAUGAAAUCCUUUUCUCUCCAGAGGAUUCUUCAGACAAAUAUCAAGGCAGUCCCUUGCUUCACCCAGUGGGCCUUCCGAUCUCUUCCUUAGCAAGGCAGUGUGGUGCUGAGCACCAGAAAAUUCCCAGGGAGAGCCUCUGCCAAAAUGCAAAACCAAGGAAAAAGGAUAAAAGCAACAGUUUUGGACCAGGCUGGCAGAAAUGGUAAACCCAAUCUGCCAUAUUUGCUUUUUCUUAAUCUAAAAUAACAGAGAUAACAUACACAAUGGACUUUCUAACUUGCCACUUUUCCCUUAUCUUUUUUCCCUUUGUGAGCCUAAGACAUCGUGUUCUUUCAUAUAACCUCUCUCUCUCUCAAAAAAAAAAAAAAAAAA